GAGGGAAACCGAGUCUUAACCGGGCGUUAAGUUGCAGGGUAUAGACCCGAAACCCGGUGAUCUAGCCAUGGGCAGGUUGAAGGUUGGGUAACACUAACUGGAGGACCGAACCGACUAAUGUUGAAAAAUUAGCGGAUGACCUGUGGCUGGGGGUGAAAGGCCAAUCAAACCGGGAGAUAGCUGGUUCUCCCCGAAAGCUAUUUAGGUAGCGCCUCGUGAAUUCAUCUCCGGGGGUAGAGCACUGUUUCGGCUAGGGGGCCAUCCCGGCUUACCAACCCGAUGCAAACUGCGAAUACCGGAGAAUGUUAUCACGGGAGACACACGGCGGGUGCUAACGUCCGUCGUGAAGAGGGAAACAACCCAGACCGCCAGCUAAGGUCCCAAAGUCAUGGUUAAGUGGGAAACGAUGUGGGAAGGCCCAGACAGCCAGGAUGUUGGCUUAGAAGCAGCCAUCAUUUAAAGAAAGCGUAAUAGCUCACUGGUCGAGUCGGCCUGCGCGGAAGAUGUAACGGGGCUAAACCAUGCACCGAAGCUGCGGCAGCGACGCUGAUGCGUUGUUGGGUAGGGGAGCGUUCUGUAAGCCUGCGAAGGUGGCCUGUGAGGGUUGCUGGAGGUAUCAGAAGUGCGAAUGCUGACAUAAGUAACGAUAAAGCGGGUGAAAAGCCCGCUCGCCGGAAGACCAAGGGUUCCUGUCCAACGUUAAUCGGGGCAGGGUGAGUCGACCCCUAAGGCGAGGCCGAAAGGCGUAGUCGAUGGGAAACGGGUUAAUAUUCCCGUACUUGGUGUUACUGCGAAGGGGGGACGGAGAAGGCUAUGUUGGCCGGGCGACGGUUGUCCCGGUUUAAGCGUGUAGGUGUGUGUUCCAGGUAAAUCCGGUUCACUUUAACACUGAGGCGUGAUGACGAGGCACUACGGUGCUGAAGCAACAAAUGCCCUGCUUCCAGGAAAAGCCUCUAAGCAUCAGGUAACAUCAAAUCGUACCCCAAACCGACACAGGUGGUCAGGUAGAGAAUACCAAGGCGCUUGAGAGAACUCGGGUGAAGGAACUAGGCAAAAUGGUGCCGUAACUUCGGGAGAAGGCACGCUGACACGUAGGUGAAGUGAUUUACUCAUGGAGCUGAAGUCAGUCGAAGAUACCAGCUGGCUGCAACUGUUUAUUAAAAACACAGCACUGUGCAAACACGAAAGUGGACGUAUACGGUGUGACGCCUGCCCGGUGCCGGAAGGUUAAUUGAUGGGGUCAGCGCAAGCGAAGCUCCUGAUCGAAGCCCCGGUAAACGGCGGCCGUAACUAUAACGGUCCUAAGGUAGCGAAAUUCCUUGUCGGGUAAGUUCCGACCUGCACGAAUGGCGUAAUGAUGGCCAGGCUGUCUCCACCCGAGACUCAGUGAAAUUGAACUCGCUGUGAAGAUGCAGUGUACCCGCGGCAAGACGGAAAGACCCCGUGAACCUUUACUAUAGCUUGACACUGAACAUUGAGCCUUGAUGUGUAGGAUAGGUGGGAGGCUUUGAAGUGUGGACGCCAGUCUGCAUGGAGCCGACCUUGAAAUACCACCCUUUAAUGUUUGAUGUUCUAACGUGGACCCGUGAUCCGGGUUGCGGACAGUGUCUGGUGGGUAGUUUGACUGGGGCGGUCUCCUCCUAAAGAGUAACGGAGGAGCACGAAGGUUGGCUAAUCCUGGUCGGACAUCAGGAGGUUAGUGCAAUGGCAUAAGCCAGCUUGACUGCGAGCGUGACGGCGCGAGCAGGUGCGAAAGCAGGUCAUAGUGAUCCGGUGGUUCUGAAUGGAAGGGCCAUCGCUCAACGGAUAAAAGGUACUCCGGGGAUAACAGGCUGAUACCGCCCAAGAGUUCAUAUCGACGGCGGUGUUUGGCACCUCGAUGUCGGCUCAUCACAUCCUGGGGCUGAAGUAGGUCCCAAGGGUAUGGCUGUUCGCCAUUUAAAGUGGUACGCGAGCUGGGUUUAGAACGUCGUGAGACAGUUCGGUCCCUAUCUGCCGUGGGCGCUGGAGAACUGAGGGGGGCUGCUCCUAGUACGAGAGGACCGGAGUGGACGCAUCACUGGUGUUCGGGUUGUCAUGCCAAUGGCACUGCCCGGUAGCUAAAUGCGGAAGAGAUAAGUGCUGAAAGCAUCUAAGCACGAAACUUGCCCCGA
rnacentral:rRNA from 1 species